UCGCGGGAUGGAGCAGUCUGGUAGCUCGUCGGGCUCAUAACCCGAAGGUCGCAGGUUCAAACCCUGCUCCCGCAAU
rnacentral:tRNA from 10 species